CCAACGUGGACAUCCUGUGAGACUGCUCUCAUAUGGCUCUGUCCAUGUGGCGAAAAGGGAGCGUAGCACGUAAGUGCCAUGACGUAUAGUCCCGUUCCACGACGUUGGAAAACAAGCUUGUUCCCGGCCUCUGGCUGGUGUGGACAGCGUCCUGUAUAUUCCUAUAUCUUUCCUGAGCCCUUUGGGACGUGUCUGGGGAGGUAAACCAUGCAGUGCACAACC